CCUACGGGAGGCAGCAGUGGGGAAUAUUGCACAAUGGGCGAAAGCCUGAUGCAGCAACGCCGCGUGAGUGAUGAAGGUUUUCGGAUCGUAAAACUCUGUUCUAAGGGAAGAUAAUGACGGUACCUUAGGAGAAAGCCCCGGCUAACUACGUGCCAGCAGCCGCGGUAAUACGUAGGGGGCAAGCGUUAUCCGGAAUUACUGGGCGUAAAGGGUGCGUAGGUGGCCUGACAAGUCAGGGGUCAAAGGCAACGGCUCAACCGUUGUAAGCCCUUGAAACUGUCGGGCUUGAGUUCAGGAGAGGAAAGCGGAAUUCCAAGUGUAGCGGUGAAAUGCGUAGAUAUUUGGAGGAACACCAGUGGCGAAGGCGGCUUUCUGGACUGAUACUGACACUGAGGCACGAAAGCGUGGGGAGCAAACAGGAUUAGAUACCCCAGUAGUCC
rnacentral:rRNA from 1 species